CUCUCUGCACGCCAGCAGCUCUCUCUUAGGGCACGCAGACCUUUCCUCUGCAGGGGAACACGAGUGCCGGCAGCCCCGAGUUAGUGACUAUCAUAGAAACUCAGUGUAUUUCUCUCUUGUUUAUCAUUCCGAGUCCUGAGUCACAGGCUUGUCCAGCACUCAAGACUUUUUCUUUUCUCUAUUUUUUGAAACGGAUUCUCGCUCUGUCCCCCAGGCUGGAGUGCAGUGGCCCGAUUUUGGGUGCAAGCGAUUCUCCUGCCUCAACCUCCCGAGUAGCUGGGACUACAGGUGUGCGCCACCACAUCCAGCUAAUUUUUGUAUUUUUAGUAGAGACGGAGUUUCACUAUGUUGGCCAGGCUGGUUUCAAACUCCUGACCUCCCGCCGGCCUCAGCCUCCCAAAGUGCUGGGAUUACAGGCAUGAGCCACCACGCCUGGCCAAGAUUUUUUCUUUUAAACCUGGAGUAUGGAGAUGCUCACUAGGCAGACAGAAUCAGCCACCACAGCCCACUCCCUCAGCCAGUAUUACUUUGACUAAGUUAGUGAGGAACCAGGCCCCAGAUUAAGAAGCAGAACUCACACUGUCAUCUGCUGUGUGCCUGGCUGGCUCAUGCAUACCUUGUCUAUCUAAUGUGGACCAAAGCCCUGUGGCACACCCUGCUGGUUACCCCCAGUGGUUACCCUGGCACAGAGGAGGAAAGGGAGUCGUGGGAGGGAGAAGGACUUCCCUGGGAGGUCUCUGGGCUGGCAAGUUGGGUGACACAGGUCCGGUUGGCUGCAAGCCUGGGCUCUGCUGUUGUAAUCAUAAAUGUGUGUGUGUGUACAGUUGUUUACAAUGUCAGCAUGGGUGUCCUUGUUUGUUAGAGAUACAUGCCACUGCUCCCAUCAUGAGGAAAAUCCCAAGCCCUCCCCAUGAUUUUUGCCAGUUUCUGGGGACUCAUGCUCCUGGCAGCCCAUGUGUCCCCAACUCCUGUGUCCUUUAGGGACCUCUGUUGAGCCCUGCCUCUAUUCUGGCAGAAUUAGAGAAAAUUCUUUAAAAAAACAAUAAAGUUUAAAUUCAUUUAAAAAAAUAAUAAAAAAUCUCACAGCAUGAGUUUUGAUGAGAUUUGGGGCAAGGUGGGCCACAACCUUGGGUUGUAUGGCCACCUCCCCCUCUUCUUCCCCUGUUGUCUCUGCAGCUCAGAAACCCCAAUUUCCUGGCCUGUGUUAUGUGGAGGAGCUGAGCUCACCCCCUACAGCUUCAUCUCCAAACCUAGCAAGGAUCCUGCCCAGAUCAGGAGAUCCUCCUUUUAACAGAAGUUAUUUACACUCCUUAGAAAGCAGUGGGGGUGGAACGAUUCUUUUUCCUGAUGCAGAGAUGUAAAACUGGGACAUUGCUACACAUAAUAUUUUAAACCUGUCUUCCCUCUUACCAACGAACACAUCACUAGCACCAUCUAUGCCAAUACAUUUCUCAACAUCAAUUUCAGUGGCUGUAUUACAUUUUAUCCUACGGAUGUGCUCUCAUUUAUAAUCUAAACCACUUUUAUUGAACACAUCAGUUAUUCUGAAAUUUUCAGUGUUAUGAUGGAUGUUGCAGUAAUUAUUCUUAUAUAUGCACAGAACCCCCAGAGGACAUGACUACUGAAGGCUGUGCUGGCAGGAUCACAGUGGAGACAAGGCAGAAACUACUCCAGACUCUCACCUGCUGUUGCUGAUCCUUACAUGGUGGCUGUGCCAGGCUCAGCCGCGCUGAGAUGACAGGGCUGUCUGGCCAUCAUUGGUCAUAUGGACUUCAGAUUUGAAAGGAUUUUAUGUAGAAGCAGAGUGCCUGAUAGGACUCUCCGGGACCCCCAUUUCUGCCCUGCUUGGCUCCCACUGGCAAGGCUGGCUCAGUUCCUGUCACCUUCUCCUGGACUUUGGCCAGAGUCCACUGGCUGUUUCCCCUGCCUCCUGCUCUCCCAGUGCCCUCUCCACACCAGUGCCAGAGCUGCUUCUAAGAGAUGCCUCAAAGCCCGCUUCCAGCUUAGGAACCCCAGGGAACAUGGAUGGUUUCUCCAUUGCCACUUCCUAGCCUUCCUGGCAUAGGAAGGUCUGGUUUGCCUGCAGGUCCCUCUCUGGGGGGGUCCCUGCUCCAUAGAUGCUGAGGCUCCAGAAGUCUGUUCUUUUAUAUCACAUUUGAAAACCUUUGAAAUGCAUUAUAGUUGAGUCAUAUGAAUUAUGUAAGUAUAUCCUACUCAUUGUAUAAAACAACACAGAAUUGUCUAAAGUGUCAUUUUUCUCCGCAUUCCAAGAAAAAGCUAAGAAGCAAUGCUAAACAAUUAGGCGUGUGAUCUUCUGUACUUUUCCCUUUGUCUCCACAAAAGUAAUCGGACAUACAGAAUUUUAAAAAUGGAUUACCCUGGGAAAGGCUCCUCCUCUCCCUCUCCCUCCUCUCCCUCUCCCUCCUCUCCCUCUCCCUCCUCUCCCUCUCCCUCCUCUCCCUCUCCCUCCUCUCCCUCUCCCUCCUCUCCCUCUCCCUCUCCCUCUCCCCACGGUCUCCCUCUCCCUCUCUUUCCAC
rnacentral:lncRNA from 1 species